UGAGGAACAUGACCUUCGGUGGGGGAGUAAGCCGGGCCCCAACGGCCGGGUAAUACCGCGUACGACC
rnacentral:rRNA from 1 species